rnacentral:snoRNA from 1 species
ACCUGCAUCCGAAAGUGAUCGAGGCCUGGCCCGUGGCCCGGUCAUCGAUAGUGCAGGGAGAGGAACGGCGAGAGCGUCCCCGUGUUUGGGUGGGGGCCCAUCCCCUCCCACCCAGACCCUGUUGCUGUCGGACA